rnacentral:lncRNA from 1 species
ACAUGAAUAUACACUUUCUCUGAAAUUUUGAGCCAAAACCUUGUCAAAUUGCUCAAGAUAAAACUCAAAACACAACCACUAAUAAAUCAGGUCACUGACUACCUUUAGAUUGCAUGCACUGACUUCAAAAUCCAAUAUCUCCUUCACCAUAACUUGAAAUCCAACAAUUAGUAUGCAAAAAGUGUAGUCACAAAAGUUCUCUCUCUAGUUGCAGUCACCAAACCUCAUUUUCCUUCCAUAUGCGUAAGUUAUGUCAAAAAUAGUGACAAUAGCUCCCAAAUCAACACCUUAACUUUGAGCACCUAUAUCUCCUUCAUAUAAAUUCCAAAUCAUUAAGGAUUUGCACCAAAAUCAUAGCCAAAAACCUAAACUUGUUGAUCCUAGCCUUCAAAGUUCGAAUGGCUACAAAAAACUAACCCUAAUUUCUAAUAUGGCCUCGGGCAGCCUCCUUGAAGCCCAUUGGUCAUGAUUUUUGACCAAUAGGAAUGGAGAUUUUCAUCAUCCAUCUCCAUUCAUCUAUAUGGAUAUCCUAAACUCUCUUUUUGCUACCAAAACCCUUCUUUAAUCCUUUUUUUUAUAAGAUUUACAUAAUUUAUGCUCUAAACACCAAAUAAAAGAACCAAAAUAAGUUUUCAAAGGUCACC